CACUGCUCACAGCCGGCUGGGCUUUUGGGUGCUGAUGCAGGCGCAGUUUUAUGCCCCUGAUCAUAGCGGGAACCUGAUGCCUUGAAUAGAAAUGUAUUUGGUGGAUGGCAGUAAUGUCCCUCCUGUGACUGCUUAACCUCACUUCACAAAAAAUUGACUAACAAAGCCAGGUUAAGAAAUCUCAUAAGGAGCACCAUGUUCACUUAAUUAGGUCCAGUAAUUUCGGGCUUUAUAAUCUUUGGAAAAUUAAUCAUUUUUGCCUGUUUUGAGAGUGCUUGUCAUUAUUCUUAGUCUCAUUUUAUUUUUUAAUCUUCAUUUGGUAAGAUGUUGUAUAUUUGACUAAAGCCAUAAUUUUUAGAAAAAAAAAAAAAAAAAAAAAAA